AGCUCCAAUAGCGUAUAUUAAAGUUGUUGCAGUUAAAAAGCUCGUAGUUGGAUUUCUGGUGGGAGCACGGGUCGGCCCUCACGGGUUGUACUGUUGUUGCGUCCUGCCGUUUCGGAGGGAAUGGCCUCGCUAUUAAGUUAGCGUGGUCGGGAACUCUGUCGUUUACUGUGAAAAAAUUAGAGUGUUCAAAGCAGGCCUUCGCUGUGAAUACAUUAGCAUGGAAUAAUAAGAUAGGACUGUAGUGCUAUUUUGUUGGUUUGCGUACUAUGGUAAUGAUUAAUAGGGAUAGUUGGGGGUAUUCAUAUUCAAUUGUCAGAGGUGAAAUUCUUGGAUUUAUGGAAGAUGAACUACUGCGAAAGCAUUUACCAAGGAUGUUUUCA
rnacentral:rRNA from 1 species